UGGGGAAUUUUGGACAAUGGGCGAAAGCCUGAUCCAGCAAUGCCGCGUGUGUGAAGAAGGCCUUCGGGUUGUAAAGCACUUUUGUCCGGAAAGAAAUCCUUGGCUCUAAUACAGUCGGGGGAUGACGGUACCGGAAGAAUAAGCACCGGCUAACUACGUGCCAGCAGCCGCGGUAAUACGUAGGGUGCAAGCGUUAAUCGGAUUACUGGGCGUAAAGCGUGCGCAGGCGGUUUGCUAAGACCGAUGUGAAAUCCCCGGGCUCAACCUGGGAACUGCAUUGGUGACUGGCAGGCUAGAGUAUGGCAGAGGGGGGUAGAAUUCCACGUGUAGCAGUGAAAUGCGUAGAGAUGUGGAGGAAUACCGAUGGCGAAGGCAGCCCCCUGGGCCAAUACUGACGCUCAUGCACGAAAGCGUGGGGAGCAAACAGGAUUAGAUACCCUGGUAGUCCACGCCCUAAACGAUGUCAACUAGUUGUUGGGGAUUCAUUUCCUUAGUAACGUAGCUAACGCGUGAAGUUGACCGCCUGGGGAGUACGGUCGCAAGAUUAAAACUCAAAUGAAUUGACGGGGUCAUAGCUGUUUCCU
rnacentral:rRNA from 1 species